UCUUAUAAGAAAGGAGUCGGUAUCAGGCACAAAUUCUUAGCCCAUAACACCUAGCAUCGCCACACCCCCAAGGGUACUCAGCAGUGAUAAACAUUAAUACUAAGCGAAAGCUUGACUCAGUUAAAGUACAAAAAGCCGGCCAACCCGGUGCCAGCCGCCGCGGCUACACCAUGGACUUAAGUUGAUAGCUUCGGCGUUAAGCGUGUUUAAAGUUAUCAAUAAUUUAGAGUUAAACCCAGACCAAGCUGUGAAAUGCUUGUCCCCAGAAACACAAAUAAACUACUUUAAUAAACACUUGAAUCCACGACAAUUAAGAAACAAACUGGGAUUAGAUACCCCACUAUGCUUAACCGUAAAAUAUACUAAUCACAUUUCCCAAUCGCCAGAGUAUUACAAGCCUAAACUUGAAACUCAAAGGACUUGACGGCGUCUUACCUACCUAGAGGAGCCUGUUCUAUAAUCGAUACUCCACGAUAUACCUCACCACUUUUUGCCUAUCAGUCUGUAUACCUCCGUCGCAAGCUUACCAUAUGAAUGUAAAUUAGUGAGCAAAAAGAUUAUUACACCUACACGUCAGGUCAAGGUGCAACCUAAAAAGUGGGAAGAAAUGGGCUACAGUUUCUAAUUUAGAACCUACGAAUAAUCAUAUGAAAAAUGAUAUUAAAGGCGGAUUUAAAAGUAAGGGGUAAAUAAAAUGUUCCCCUUAAUCAAGCAAUAAGACGCGUACACACCGCCCGUCACCCUCUUCAAUAACCUAAUCAACUGUUUAUAACAACCCCGUAUAUUAAAGAAGAGGCAAGUCGUAACAUGGUAAGCAUACUGGAAAGUGUGCUUUGAAUAACAAAAUAUAGCUUAACCUUUAAAGCACUUCGCUUACACCGAAAUUAUACCUGUUUAACCCAAGUUAUUUUGAACCUAAAACUCCGCCAACUAAUUAUCUUCUUUUUCACUUCCUAACUUAUCCCCUAAAACAUUUUAACAAUUUAGUAAAGGUGAUUGAAAAUUAAUAAGAGCCCCAUAUAAAGUACCGCAAGGGAAAAGUGAAAUAGAAAUGAAAUAAACAUUAAGUAAUUAAAAGCAGAGAUUAACACUCGUACCUUUUGCAUCAUGGUCUAACUAGUUUCAAUAAGCAAAUUAUCCAUUUAGCUUAUACCCCCGAAACCAAGCGAGCUACUUAAAAACAGCCUUAAGAGCCAACCCGUCUCUGUUGCAAAAGAGUGGGAAGAUUUUUAAGUAGAGGUGAAAUGCCUAUCGAGCCUGGAGAUAGCUGGUUGCUCAAGAAAAGAACCUUAGUUCUUCCUCAAACUUUUAUUAUGAAUCUAUACACCCAUUUGAGAACUAUUCAAAUAUGGUACAGCCUAUUUGAUAUCGAAUACAAUCAAAAAUUUAGGGUAAUGUAACCCCCCCCCCCUCAACCCAGUCGGCCUAAAAGCAGCCACCUAAACAAUAGCGUUAUAGCCUUACUAAUUUUUUUCCCAAUACCAAUAUAUACACAAAACCCCACCCUAGUAUUGAGCACUUUUAUAAUUUAUAAAUGAUAUUAUGUUAGAACUAGUAACAAGAACUCUUCUCCAAAUGUAAAUAUACUUCAAAUAUGAGCAUUAUUAUAAUGUACGUAAUAACUUCUCCAGAAACCCUUACCAUUCAACAAUAUUAAACUUACACAAGAACACUCCAGGAAAGAUUAAAAUAAAAAGAAGGAAUUCGGCAAACUUUAGUCUCGCCUGUUUACCAAAAACAUCACCUCUUGAUUCAUUAUAAGAGGCCUAGCCUGCCCAGUGAUUAUUUCAACGGCCGCGGUAUCCUAACCGUGCAAAGGUAGCACAAUCACUUGUUCUCUAAAUAGGGACUCGUAUGAAAGGCAUCACGAAGACCAUGCUGUCUCCUUUUUACAAUCAGUGAAACUGAUCUCCCCGUGAAGAAGCGGGAAUCAUUUUAUAAGACGAGAAGACCCUAUGAAGCUUUAAAUUUAAUAUCCAACUGUCACCUAAUAUCACUAUAAUUUGACAAAUCUGGUUACCAAUUUUAGGUUGGGGUGACCGCGGAGAAAAAUAAAACCUCCACAAUGAAAAGACAAAUCCUAAUUCAAGAAUUACAUUUCUAAAAAUCAGAAUACUGACAUAAAUUGACCCAAACCCUUGAUCAAUGAACCAAGUUACUCUAGGGAUAACAGCGCAAUCCAUUUCAAAAGCUCUUAUUGACAAAUGGGUUUACGACCUCGAUGUUGGAUCAGGGUAUCUCUAGUGGUGCAACCGCUA
rnacentral:misc_RNA from 1 species